AGAGUUUGAUUCUGGCUCAGGAUGAACGCUGGCGGCGUGCUUAAUACAUGCAAGUCGAACGAAGUUUUCUCGCCGAAGUUUACUCAUUGAGAAAACUUAGUGGCGGACGGGUGAGUAACGCGUGGGUAACCUGCCUUACACAGGGGGAUAACAGUUAGAAAUGACUGCUAAUACCGCAUAAGCGCACAUAAUCGCAUGAUUCAGUGUGAAAAGAUUUAUCGGUGUAAGAUGGACCCGCGUCUGAUUAGCUAGUUGGUGAGGUAACGGCCCACCAAGGCGACGAUCAGUAGCCGGCCUGAGAGGGUGAACGGCCACAUUGGGACUGAGACACGGCCCAAACUCCUACGGGAGGCAGCAGUAGGGAAUAUUGGACAAUGGGGGAAACCCUGAUCCCAGCGACGCCGCGUGAGUGAAGAAGUAUUUCGGUACGUAAAGCUCUAUCAGCAGGGAAGAAAAUGACGGUACCUGACUAAGAAGCACCGGCUAAAUACGUGCCAGCCGCAGC
rnacentral:rRNA from 1 species